AGCAAGCAUGACUAUGCUAACUUGAUUUGGAGCAAAGCAUUUCUUUAGAAACCUCCCUCUCUCAAUCCAUCCCUUCUCAGUCACUCUGUGUGGGGUCAUAGUCAUAUAGGCAUUAGACAGAGUAAGUCUAUAGUCUCAUGGCUUGGAAAAGUGAUUUGUUAGUGUGCACAACAUUAGAAUGUGAGACCAUGGAAGAGAUGGUUUGUUCCAUGGAGAAAGCUAAGGAAGAAGGUGCAGAUCUUGUGGAGCUUCACUUUGAUUCCAUCUCCUUCUCCCACAUUUCCCAAGUUGAACAUCUCUUGAAACAUAGACCUCUCCCUGUCAUUGUCUCUUUCAGGCUAAAUUCAGGAAGGAGUACGAGCAGAGGAUUAGGAGGAGAGUGCAAGAGCAAGACUAAAAGCAGAUGCUUUCAAGUUCUCAGACUCGCUCUCCAACUCGAUGUCGAAUUCAUCGAAAUUGAUCUUCAGGUAGCUUUUGAAGUAGGUUUAACUGAGUUUAUGAACAAUCGAUCAAAUAGCAAGAUAAUCGUAUCAAGCCAUGUGAACAGUGGGAGACCUUCAGAGGAGAAACUUGGUAACCUGAUUGCUUGCCUUCAAUCUACAGGGGCUGACGUCAUCAAACUGUUGAUUGAUGUUGUUUAUAUUACAGAUGUAGCUCCAGUUUUCCAUAUGCUCACCCAUUGUCAGGUGCCACUAAUUGCUAGAGCAGUUGGUGAUAGAGGUCUUAUAAGCCAAUUAUUGGGCCCAAAAUUUGGUGCUUUCCUAGUUUGUGGAUCUCUGGGAGGCACAUCCGUAGCUGGCUUGCCACCUCUUGUCAGCAUUAAACAAGUUUACAAGCCUGAAUAUAUCAAUGCAAAUACCAAAGUAUUUGGUCUCAUCUCAAAUCCAGUUGGCCAUAGCAAAGGCCCUCUUUUGCAUAACCCUGCCUUUAGACACACAGGAUAUAAUGGAAUUUAUGUUCCGAUGCUUGUCGAUGAUAUCACGGAAUUCUUUAGGGUCUAUUCAUGCACCGACUUUGCCGGAUUCAGUGUUGGAAUCCCGCAUAAGGAAGCAGCAGUAGAGUGCUGUGAUGAAGUCCAUCCACUUGCUAAGUCCAUAGGAGCUGUAAAUACCAUUAUAAGGAGACCUACCGAUGGGAAGCUAGUUGGUUACAAUACAGAUUGUGAGGCUUGUAUAACUGCAAUCGAGGAUGCCUUGAGAGAAAAACUAGUUACCAAUGGAGGAGCAUCACAGACCUCUCCUAUUGCCGGGAAAGUUUUUGUGUUGGUUGGAGCUGGAGGUGCUGGUAGAGCGCUGGCUUUUGGUGCAAAAAGCCGAGGGGCAAGGGUCAUCAUUUUCAACCGCAAUUAUGAGAGAGCAAAGGCACUGGCACAAGCAGUUUCUGGUGAAGCUCUGCCUUAUGAAUGUUUAGACAUGUUCCGUCAUGAGAAUGGAAUGAUUCUCGCAAAUGCUUCUGCUGUGGGCAUGCAACCAAAUAUAGAUCAAACUCCUCUUUCCAAGGAGGCAUUGGGAGCGUAUGAGCUGGUUUUUGAUGCUGUUUACACGCCUAGAAACACUCGGCUCUUACGAGAGGCUGCAGAGGUGGGAACCACAGUGGUGAGCGGAGUCGAGAUGUUCAUCAGGCAGGCUCUUGGUCAGUUCAAAUUGUUCACUGGUGGAUUAGGUAUAUCCCCUUUUGGCACAUUAUAAAUUCUCUAACAACAAUCAGUAAAUGAGUUCUGGGGUAUAAUCGAGGUGUUUCCAAGGCUACAGAAAAUGGAAGUAGGUUUUGACGAGCGAGCUUUAGCUUAGUUGAAUGUCGAGUGUGGAGAUAAUCUUGUAACCCCUUUGGACCAACAAGCAAAAAUGGAAAGCCAAUGCCAGAAGAAUUCAUGCGCAAGGUUGUUCUACAACAAUUUUGAUUUGUUCCAUCCAAUUGUGAAAUUUCCUUCUCGGCUCUGAGAUGAGGUAGUAAUGAUAUGAAUAUGUUUUAUCAGCCUCAACUGAUGAAAUUGUAGUUAGCUGUGUGCUGGUUUUAUGUUUUUUCCCCCCCCACCUGAGCCAUUGACUGUUCAAGACUAUGCAAUAGUCAUGGUUAUAGCAAAGAAUUUCAUGCAAA